UACAGAGGGUGCGAGCGUUAAUCGGAAUUACUGGGCGUAAAGCGCGCGUAGGCGGCUUUGCAAGUCGGGUGUGAAAUCCCCAGGCUUAACCUGGGAACUGCAUUCGAGACUGCAUUGCUAGAGUAUGGGAGAGGGAUGCAGAAUUCCAGGUGUAGCGGUGAAAUGCGUAGAUAUCUGGAGGAAUACCGGUGGCGAAGGCGGCAUCCUGGACCGACAUUGACGCUGAGUGAGCGAAAGCUAGGGGAGCAAACGGG
rnacentral:rRNA from 1 species